UACUAAAUUACAGGUACAUAUACUGCUCUAAGAGCCGGUGUUUACCUUAAAUCCGAUAUUUUAGCACAUCGUGAGAUUGAUGCGGUUGACCCUAAAAGCCGACACAAGGGGAAUCUCGAGACCGAGGCCUUACUAGAGUCAAAAGGUGUCAACUACACUUCUAUAAGACCCGUUUAUAUCUACGGCCCGUUGAACUACAACCUUGUCGAAGAGUGGUUUUUCCAUAGGUUGAAAGCGGGCCGACCCAACCCCAAUCACAAAUCAGGUUUGCAAGUAACCCAAUUCGGUCACGUAAAGCUUUUAUAAAAGUUUUUAGGAAUGAAAAAGCAAGCAAACAAGAGUACAACUUUUAGGAGAUAGAUAUGUUACUUUCGAUGGAUUAGCAAGAGCUUGCGCUAAGGCUGGUGGAUUCCCUGAGCCCGAGAUCAUUCACUAUAAUCCUAAGGAGUUCCAUUACAGUAAAAAGAAAGCAUUUCCAUUCCAGGACCAGGUAAACACCAAUUUAUAUAUAC